AGUGAACGCUGGCGGCAGGCCUAACACAUGCAAGUCGAGCGGCAGCGGGUCCUUCGGGAUGCCUGCGAGCGGCGGACGGGUGAGGAAUACAUCGGAAUCUGCCCUGUCGUGGGGGAUAACCUAGGGAAACUUAGGCUAAUACCGCAUACGACCUACGGGUGAAAGCGGGGGAUCGCAAGACCUCGCGCGACAGCAUGAGCCGAUGUCCGAUUAGCUAGUUGGCGGGGUAAAGGCCCACCAAGGCGACGAUCGGUAGCUGGUCUGAGAGGAUGAUCAGCCACACUGGGACUGAGACACGGCCCAGACUCCUACGGGAGGCAGCAGUGGGGAAUAUGGGACAAUGGGCGCAAGCCUGAUCCAGGCAUGCCGCGUGCGUGAAGAAGGCCUUCGGGUUGUAAAGCCCUUUUGUCCGGGAAGAAAUCGGCUGGGCUAAUACCCCGGGCGGAUGACGGUACCGGAAGAAUAAGCACCGGCUAACUUCGUG
rnacentral:rRNA from 1 species